UACGUAGGGGGCAAGCGUUGUCCGGAAUCAUUGGGCGUAAAGCGCGUGUAGGCGGUCCGGUAAGUCCGCUGUGAAAGUCCAGGGCUCAACCCUGGGAUGCCGGUGGAUACUGUCGGGCUCGAGUCCGGAAGAGGAGUGUGGAAUUCCUGGUGUAGCGGUGAAAUGCGCAGAUAUCAGGAGGAACACCAAUGGCGAAGGCAGCACUCUGGGACGUGACUGACGCUGAGACGCGAAAGCGUGGGGAGCAAACAGG
rnacentral:rRNA from 1 species